rnacentral:rRNA from 1 species
GACGAACGCUGGCGGCGUGCUUAACACAUGCAAGUCGAACGGAAAGGCCCUGCUUUUGUGGGGUGCUCGAGUGGCGAACGGGUGAGUAACACGUGAGUAACCUGCCCUUGACUUUGGGAUAACUUCAGGAAACUGGGGCUAAUACCGGAUAGGAGCUCCUGCUGCAUGGUGGGGGUUGGAAAGUUUCGGCGGUUGGGGAUGGACUCGCGGCUUAUCAGCUUGUUGGUGGGGUAGUGGCUUACCAAGGCUUUGACGGGUAGCCGGCCUGAGAGGGUGGCCGGCCACAUUGGGACUGAGAUACGGCCCAGUCUCCUACGGGAGGCAGCAGUGGGGAAUAUUGCACAAUGGGCGGAAGCCUGAUGCAGCAACGCCGCGUGCGUGAUGACGGCCUUCGGGUUGUAAACCGCUUUCGCCUGUGACGAAGCGUGAGUGACGGUAAUGGGUAAAGAAGCACCGGCUAACUACGUG